rnacentral:ncRNA from 1 species
GAUAAAAGAAUAAUUCGUAUAAUAGCAAGGAUAUGGCUUGCAAGUUUCUACCGAUUUCCCGUAAAGAGAUCGACUACGAUGUAUCACACU